UCGCUGAAAAUUUCGGCGAACUAUAUUUCUUAUGUUCAGGGUGUACUUUAAGCCACGCCUUCAGCUUAGUAACAAGCACGGUCCUGUUAAUUCCAUAGGUGGCCUUGUAGGUAGUUAGCAUCAACGCCGUGUGUGUGCUGAGGGCAUUCCAUCUAUAUUUUUAGAUGUUUUUAGUUAUUGCGAUUAAUUUAUAGGUUUCAAUUAAAAAAAAACUUGUUUGAAUGAUCAUGGUAUUUUUAGGAUACUUCAGUAAAUAGUAAAUUGAACUGUUCCUCAAUAUGGAACGGCAACGUUGUACACCUGUAGUUAUUUCAAAUCUUUAUAGGGGGCGGUGCAUAUUUAUUUGGACGCAUGCGCAGUAAAUCCUCCCCUCCAACACCGCCAUUUUAGAGUUAGAACUGAACAGUCACGUUUUCCGGUUGUGGUCUUACAGUAAAAGAGUGGCAGUAAAUCCAGUGCAUCAAAAAUAUUAACAAUAAAUUUUCAUGCGGUUACGUUCAAAUAAAACAUUGAGAUAGUUCAAGAGUUCGUGUUGUUGCUGAGUAAUGUGAUAUUUCCAAAUAAACAACAAGUUAGGAACGGCGAAGCCAUCUUUCCUUCUGUGAACCAAACAGUUCGGAUCAAUCCAUUCUUAAAUGAACUACUGGCAGUGGUCAUGGAAAUCAUGGACUACUUAACCUUUAUGCUGUGCGUCAUUAGGACCCUCCUGGAAUCUACUUAAGAUGCUAACGAUUCCAAUAAGAACACACCCUAAGAAUGCUUCAAUAUUACCAUCACAUCAAAAAUCACAAGGAGGAGAAGUCAUCAGUGGUCGAAGAAUGUCAUCAGUGUCGAAGAAUGUGCUUAAAGGACAAUAAUAGUAUUACCUUUCGAAAGGUAGGAUUCAUUAUUAUCUAAAAUGAAACUUUAUACUGACUUAUGUCUUAUGACUAAGUAUUCCAAUAAAAAUGUUCCAUCUAAAUUUA